rnacentral:rRNA from 1 species
UGGGGAAUUUUGGACAAUUGGGCGAAAGCCUGAUCCAGCAAUGCCGCGUGUGUGAAGAAGGCCUUCGGGUUGUAAAGCACUUUUGUCCGGAAAGAAAUCCUUGGCUCUAAUACAGUCGGGGGAUGACGGUACCGGAAGAAUAAGCACCGGCUAACUACGUGCCAGCAGCCGCGGUAAUACGUAGGGUGCAAGCGUUAAUCGGAAUUACUGGGCGUAAAGCGUGCGCAGGCGGUUUGCUAAGACCGAUGUGAAAUCCCCGGGCUCAACCUGGGAACUGCAUUGGUGACUGGCAGGCUAGAGUAUGGCAGAGGGGGGUAGAAUUCCACGUGUAGCAGUGAAAUGCGUAGAGAUGUGGAGGAAUACCGAUGGCAAAGGCAGCCCCCUGGCCAAGUACUGACGCUCAUGCACGAAAGCGUGGGGAGCAAACNGGAUUAAUNCCCUGGUAGUCCACGCCCUAAANGAUGUCAACUAGUUGUUGGGGGAUUCAUUUUCCUUAGUAACGUAGCUAACGCGUGAAGUUGACCGCCUGGGGAGUACGGUCGCAAGAUU